rnacentral:lncRNA from 1 species
GAUGUUAUGUUGUCUUCUCUAGGAUUUUUCCACAUUUCAUCAUCAUAAUUGCUUUAUCUACUUUUUGCAGUAAUAUUGCCAGGAUGUCUUCUAUAUUUGCUGAACUUUAUCAUGUUUGCCUGAAUUGAUUGCUUGGUUUAUACAGUUUCUUGUUGAAGGCCACUACUUUUUUCUAAUAUACUGUCUCUGUUGGUGAUAAGUUUUUUGUUAUUUUCUUUGAUUGCAUUUAUUUCGUGUUUGCCAAUGAUUGUGUGUGUCUGUGCUGAUUGGAGGCUAUUGUUGUUCUCAAUGCUGUUUGAAUUCUUUUUAUGUUGAAUCUUUGUACAUCUUUAAUUUUCUUUCUUAUUAUUUUUUUACAUUUUCUGAUCAGUAGCAGAUUUGAUCCGUCUCCCUUCUGUUUUCGAUCAGCUCCUGUGUUUUGGAGAUAUUUUCUUGACAAGAUUUCUUGGUUGAAUUGCUAUAGUGUCCUUGGUACUAUCUCACAUGAUUGUUGCUAUCCUAUUGUUUGCUUUCUGUAAGUUACUUUCCUCUUCUGCAAGCACUUGGAAUCUGUUCUGGCAGUUUGGGUUAUAUUCUUCCUUCUUGGUCUUAAGCUCUGUCCAUAUUGAUCUUUUGUCCUCUUUCAUGUUGUUGAAUAUCCAAUUUGACUUUGGCAUGUACUAGUCUGUGAUCUCUGCCAAUGUUGAAUUGGUAGAGUGUGGAAACUUCUUUGCUUAUACAGUUGUUAUUGGUCAGGAUGAAGUCAAUCUCAUUCUUGGCUGUCCAUUGGGGCUGACAAUAUCAAUUUUUGUUGC